GGUGUUAGGCCCGUUGGAGUGUAUAUGGCAAUUAUUGAUGCUUCCUAUGAGUCGGAUUGUUUGAGAAUGCAGUCCAAAUUUGGUGGUAAACUCCAUCUAAGGCUAAAUACUUGUAUGAGUCCGAUAGCAAACAAGUACCGUGAGGGAAAGUUGAAAAGAACUUUGAAGAGAGAGUUAAAUAGUACGUGAAAUCGCUUAGAGGUAAACGAGUGGAGCCGAAAAUAUCAGAUGGGAUUCAGUUGGGUGUAUGAUGAUGAUUGGUUUGGUAAAAACUACAACUAGCAUUACCAAAUCGAUAUGUUCGUUGUAGGCACAAUGCACUUUCUGUCUGAUUAAACUGUGACCGAUAGCGUCGUUUCUCUGUCGUGAUGUUGAAGGUGACCAGUUGCUUGCAAUUGGUUUUAUAGCUCAUUACACGGUUAAAUGUUUUCUGUAUCGGUGAAUAGCAAUCAGUCAAUGUUGGCAAUGUGUUAUGUAUGUUGUUUGAUGGUUGGCUACAUGUAGACUGCUGUUAGAUAGCGUGCGUGAUGUGUUGUCGACGGAUUGGUUUAAAGUCGCAGUAUAUGUAGGUUAUCUACUCGUCCCGUCUUGAAACACGGACCAAGGAGUUUUAUAUGAUCGCGAGUCAAAGGGCUGUACGAAACCCCAGGGCGCAAUUAAUGUAAAGGUUUACUUUUGUAGACUGUGAUGUGACCUCGUUCUAGUCAAAUAGAAGGAGUGCAACAUCGACCCGUCUAAAGAUGUUCGCAUCUGGGCGGAGUUUGAGCGAUCAUGUAGAGACCCGAAAGAUGGUGAACUAUGCUUGUGCAGGUUGAAGUCAGAGGAAACUCUGAUGGAGGACCGCCGCGGUUCUGACGUGCAAAUCGAUCGUCGGACAUGAGUAUAGGGGCGAAAGACUAAUCGAACCAUCUAGUAGCUGGUUCCCUCCGAAGUUUCCCUCAGGAUAGCUGGCGUUUGUUGUCGUAGUUUUACCUGGUAAAGCGAAUGAUUAGAAGUAUUGGGGACGAAAUGUUCUCAACUUAUUCUCAAACUUUAAAUGGGUUCGAUGUGUAGCUCGCUUCAUUGGAGUUGCACGUUGAAUACGAAUGCCUAGUGGGCCAUUUUUGGUAAGCAGAACUGGCGAUGUGGGAUGAACCAAACAUCUGGUUAAGGUGCCUAACAUCACGCUCAUGAGAUCCCACAAAAGGUGUUGGUUGAUAAAGACAGCAGGACGGUGGACAUGGAAGUCGUCAUCCGCUAAGGAGUGUGUAACAACUCACCUGCCGAAUCAACCAGCCCUGAAA
rnacentral:rRNA from 1 species